rnacentral:rRNA from 1 species
CAAUAGCGUAUAUUUAAGUUGCUGCAGUUAAAAAGCUCGUAGUUGGAUUUCGGGUGGGAAUGGCCGGUCCGCCGUUUCGGUGUGCACUUGCUACGCCCACCUUGCUGCCGGAGACGUGCUCUUGAGUUCACGCUCGGGACACGGAGUCGGCGAGGUUACUUUGAGUAAAUUAGAGUGUUCAAAGCAGGCCUACGCUCUGAAUACAUUAGCAUGGAAUAACACGAUAGGACUCUGGCCUAUCUUGUUGGUCUGUAGGACCGGAGUAAUGAUUAAGAGGGACAGUCGGGGGCAUUCGUAUUUCAUUGUCAGAGGUGAAAUUCUUGGAUUUAUGAAAGACGAACUACUGCGAAAGCAUUUGCCAAGGAUGUUUUCAUUAA